CCUACGGGGUGCAGCAGUGAGGAAUAUUGGUCAAUGGACGCAAGUCUGAACCAGCCAUGCCGCGUGCAGGAAGACGGCUCUAUGAGUUGUAAACUGCUUUUGUAUGAGGGUAAACGCAGAUACGCGUAUCUGUCUGAAAGUAUCGUACGAAUAAGGAUCGGCUAACUCCGUGCCAGCAGCCGCGGUAAUACGGAGGAUUCAAGCGUUAGCCGGAUUUAUUGGGUUUAAAGGGUGCGUAGGCGGUCGGAUAAGUUAGAGGUGAAAUCCCGGGGCUCAACUUCGGAAUUGCCUCUGAUACUGUGCGGCUAGAGAGUAGUUGCGGUAGGCGGAAUGUAUGGUGUAGCGGUGAAAUGCUUAGAGAUCAUACAGAACACCGAUUGCGAAGGCAGCUUACCAAACUACAUCUGACGUUGAGGCACGAAAGCGUGGGGAGCAAACAGGAUUAGAUACCCGGGUAGUC
rnacentral:rRNA from 1 species